UCGCGUGAUUUGGAGGUUAAAAUUAUUAUAUAAGCCAACAACAAAGGACUAACACAACAUUAACAAAUUGUAUAAAAAGUUGCCUAACUUGUACUUGGUAUCUUUUGCUUUUUCACUUACGCGUGUAGUGCAACUUCUCCUAGCAAACUGUGUAUAGAAAACUCGGGUUAUACACUGUAGUUCUCUUCUCAACUUUCUCUUUCUUCUUCACUCUUAAUGGUCUUUAGUCCUUAGCCAUUGCUAAAAAGCAAUAGUAGCGGCUGUUUGUUCUCAGAUAAUCUCACUACUAUUUGAGGCAGAUCUGGACAAAAAACUCAGGUCUUAUUAUUCUUUCAUUAACUUAUAUCAUAUUUUUUGUAUUUUGCUUAACUACCCCACACAUCUGACAUAUGGUAAAAAAUUUCUGUAAGAAAUUUAAAAAUCAGGUUAGUGCAUGUACAUUGUGAUAAUUCCUAUCUUUUUUUGUAUUUUUUUUUUUUUUUAAAUUAUCCCACAAAAGUUGACAUAAAACUUUAGGGUUAAUUAGGUUGUGGAAUCAGGUAUAAUAGUUCCUUUGUUAUUCGCUCUCUCGAAGUGUUUCUCAAUUUUAGUUGGGUUUUCCUUUAAUGUUUCUUUUUUAUUUCACUUUGUUGCUGGUGAUUAGAAUUUGAUAAUCCCAACUUUCUCAAAGUUUUUCCAUUUUCAUUUUAUUUGACUAUUUGUGUCUAACCUCUCUAUUUCAUUUGAGGUAGUAGUAUGAACUGGGUACACUUUAUCCUCCCCAGAUCCCACUUUGUUGGAAUGCACCGGGUAUGUUGUUACUGUUGACUAUUUGUGUCUCUUUGUUUUGGCAAGUUAGUUGGUUCAAGCUUUCUUUGUUGCACUCUUCCUUGGCGAUCAAAGUGACAAUAAUAACAAACAAAGAGGACGACUUACAAGAAGUGGGUUACAGUACCAAUGGUGUUAAUCUUUUCUAGAUUUUGACAAGAAAAAUAAUUUUGAAGCAGGCUGUGAACCUAUGUGAUUUGAUUAUAUAACCUGCUCAUUCCACAUGAAACUUUUAUUCGAGUAGCAUUCUGAGAUUAACGAAGUACUAAAAUACAAAAAUUUUAUAAGCGACAUACUUUCAAAUAAUUUUACUUUUCAUUUUCAUUAGCAAAGUAGAUAAUGGUGCUUGAUCAAGGAUGCCCCUACAUUUUAUAACCGACAUAUAUACCAUCUUAAACACUACUUGGCGUCAAAGAUCUUCGACGUGAAGACUUGUUGAGCAUUUGUGGCAAUGAGAAAGGCGAGAGAAAGCUACAUGAAUGAGUCUAUGAUUAUGAUCUUUACAACGAUUUAGGCAAUCCUGACAAAAGUGAGGAUCUUGCUAGGCCGUUGAUAGUAACUCAUCCAGUUUAUGCCCCUAGAGAUGAAACUUUUGAAGAAAUUAAGAAAAAUACUUUUUCUGCUGGAAGGUUGAAAGUUCUGUUACAUAACCUGGUACCACUAGUUGCGGGUACAUUAUCAAGCUCAGACAUUUCCUUUACAAACUUCACUGACAUAGAUAAACUGUAUAACGAUGGGUUUGUCUUGAAUGAUGAUAAAGAUUUACAGAAGAAUAAAUUUUCUUCUGAUACUUUGGAUAAAGUAUUUUCUGAUAGCAAAAGGUUGCUCAAGUACAAGAUUUUUGCUAUAUUCUAACGUAAGAACACAUAGCUAUUUUUUCAUUCAUAUAUGUUUUCCUCUAUCAUUUAGCAUUGUUGAAAGUUGAAUCUUGAGGAGUUCUAUUUGUCUAUUAGAUUUACAAGACGUGCCAUCAGAAACCUACCAUCCUAUAAUUUCUUUCCAACGUUCUUUUGGAGUAAUAUUUCAUGCACUCUGCAUCUUUCUGUUUUCUGUCUUGCAGGGGAUAGAUUUGCGUGUCUGCGAGAUAAUGAGUUCGCCCGACUAGCUUUAGCAGGGAUUAACCCUGUGAAUAUUGAACUUUCGAGGAUAAUUUCUAAUUAUUAUUUUUGUACUAAAUGAAUUGUAAGCUUUCUUUAGAUGUUCAUUAAGCUUGUGGAUAUUUAACAGGAAUUUUCAAUUGUUAGCAAGAUAGAUAUAGCUGUUAAUGGUCCCCCUGAUUCAGCUAUUACCAGGGAUCUUAUAGAACAGGAGCUUAAUGAACUAAGUGUGAAGAGGCUAUUGAAGGCAAGAGAUUGUUUAUAAUUGAUUAUCAUGACAUGCUUUUGCCAUUUAUUGGGAAGAUGAACUCCGUGGCAAAGAGCAAAUCUUAUGCAUCAUUCUUUUACACAUCCAGAGGUGUUCCAAAGCCAAUUAUCAUUAAACUUUCACUGCCUCCUACACCUUCUUCACCUAGGAACAAGAUGAGUGGGUUUAUAGUUGAUGUGCAACAAUCCAGUUAUUAGAGCAUGCUAUGUUCGAUGAGAAGUGUCAGAGAUAGAAAAAGAAGUAAUUGUUCAUUGUAUUCUCUUAAUUCGAUUUGAGAGACUUUUAGCUGUUGAUAGGGUUCAUCAAAUUUUGAGUUGAAGAUUGAAGUCCUUUGUGCAAUAUUCACUAUGUUUUUUCAUUGA